UUUUCAAUUGACUGCGCCAAGAGCGCUGCUCAAAAACUAGUUUUAAGCGCACGCGGCGCAAAGCGGCAGGGACGACGACUGAGCGUGAGUUGAGCGAAGAAGAGCAGCUCCAUAUACUGGAAUUUGUUGUAAACGCUGGCGUUUCGUGGCCGGCGCGGCGGGCUCUGCUUUUUGCCAGCUUAACUGGCGCUGCUGCGGUCAAAGCAGCUACAUAUGUACAUACAUACAUAUGCACAUACAUAUAUAUUGCAUUGUAAACAAGAAACGAAGGAGCAACACGGCAUAGGAAAACGAAAUAGUAAAUACUGCAGCAGUCAGCAAAAAGUCAGGUAACUGCGCAGCAAGCAACGCUGAGCAAUAUUGGCUUUAACAACGACGCAGCUGCGCGUCAUCAGGAAAAUAAAAACAAAAGCGGAAACAGAGCCCGACGAAGCAGAGUCACAGAGACCGGCAGCAGCAGUAGCGUAGCGUAGCGCAGCAACAACGCCGCAGAAAACAUUCUCUUCUUUGCCGUCGUGGAGUUAACAACGUAUUAUUUCUGGUUCAAGAGCGUCGUCGUGUUGAAAAAUUCCAAAUUUGCAGUGUUUUUCGGGUUUAGUGUUUUGAAUUAUUUUGCAUACAUAUAAAUAAUACAAAUCAUUUAAACUGAAAUUGUUUGUGUUACACAAGUGCCAAUUGUAGUUCAAAUUGCAGCACACGUUCGGUUGGCUAACUUCUUACUUGCCGGUUUUACUACAUAAACACAUACAGACACAUUUGAAUGUUUGUAUGUACGUACUUUUGAGCAACGUCGGCGAAAAGGUAGAAAACGAAAUACGCAAAACAGAAAAAAAAACAAAUAAAUAAAA